GACGUAGGGCGCGAGCGUUGUCCGGAUUUAUUGGGCGUAAAGAGCUCGUAGGCGGCUUGUCGCGUCGAAUGUGAAAACUCGGGGCUCAACUCCGAGCUUGCAUUCGAUACGGGCAGGCUAGAGUUCGGUAGGGGAGACUGGAAUUCCGGGUGUAGCGGUGGAAUGCGUAGGAGACGUCGAGGAAGACCGGUGGCGAAGGCGGUCUGCUGGGCAGUUUCUGACACUGAGGCGCGACAGCGUGGGGAGCAAACAGGG
rnacentral:rRNA from 1 species